CACUGUGGUGAUAGCAUGUUGAAUAUAUUAGUUCCCGAUAGAUCACUGGAGCAACAUUGCACGAGGUUGGUAUCCGUAUGGGUGACCAUCUGGGUAAUCACGUCCUACUGCAA
rfam:Asian citrus Psyllid, Diaphorina citri - Florida Strain, whole genome shotgun sequence.